GGAGUAAAGUUAAUACCUUUACUCAUUGACGUUACCCGCAGAAGAAGCACCGGCUAACUCCGUGCCAGCAGCCGCGGUAAUACGGAGGGUGCAAGCGUUAAUCGGAAUUACUGGGCGUAAAGCGCACGCAGGCGGUUUGUUAAGUCAGAUGUGAAAUCCCCGGGCUCAACCUGGGAACUGCAUCUGAUACUGGCAAGCUUGAGUCUCGUAGAGGGGGGUAGAAUUCCAGGUGUAGCGGUGAAAUGCGUAGAGAUCUGGAGGAAUACCGGUGGCGAAGGCGGCCCCC
rnacentral:rRNA from 1 species